rnacentral:rRNA from 1 species
CGCGCAGGCGGGUCGAUAAGUCAGAGGUGAAAUCCUACAGCUCAACUGUAGAACUGCCUUUGAUACUGCUGAUCUUGAGUAUGGAAGAGAGAGACGGAAUUCCAGGUGUAGUGGUGAAAUACGUAGAUAUCUGGAAGAACACCAGUUGCGAAGGCGGUCUCUUGGUCCAAUACUGACGCUGAGGCGGCGAAAGCGUGGGUAGCAAACA